AAUUUUGGACAAUGGGGGAAACCCUGAUCCAGCCAUCCCGCGUGUGCGAUGAAGGCCUUCGGGUUGUAAAGCACUUUUGGCAGGGAAGAAAAGGUUCUGGCUAAUAAUCAGAACUGCUGACGGUACCGGCAGAAGAAGCACCGCAUAUCUACGCGCCAGAAGCCACGGUAAUACGUAGAGUGCAAGAGUUAAUCGGAAUUACUGGGCGGAAAGCGUGCGCAGGCGGUUUGGCAAGAAGGAUGUGAAAUCCCAGGGCUCAACCUUGGAACUGCAUUUUUAACUGCCGAGCUAGAGUAUGUCAGAGGGGGGUAGAAUUCCACGUGUAGCAGUGAAAUGCGUAGAUAUGUGGAGGAAUACCGAUGGCGAAGGCAGCCCCCUGGGAUAAUACUGACGCUCAGACACGAAAGCGUGGGGAGCAAACA
rnacentral:rRNA from 1 species